UAGGGAAUCUUCCGCAAUGGACGAAAGUCUGACGGAGCAACGCCGCGUGAGUGAUGAAGGCUUUCGGGUCGUAAAACUCUGUUGUUAGGGAAGAACAAGUGCUAGUUGAAUAAGCUGGCACCUUGACGGUACCUAACCAGAAAGCCACGGCUAACUACGUGCCAGCAGCCGCGGUAAUACGUAGGUGGCAAGCGUUAUCCGGAAUUAUUGGGCGUAAAGCGCGCGCAGGUGGUUUCUUAAGUCUGAUGUGAAAGCCCACGGCUCAACCGUGGAGGGUCAUUGGAAACUGGGAGACUUGAGUGCAGAAGAGGAAAGUGGAAUUCCAUGUGUAGCGGUGAAAUGCGUAGAGAUAUGGAGGAACACCAGUGGCGAAGGCGACUUUCUGGUCUGUAACUGACACUGAGGCGCGAAAGCGUGGGGAGCAAACAGGAUUAGAUACCCUGGUAGUCCACGCCGUAAACGAUGAGUGCUAAGUGUUAGAGGGUUUCCGCCCUUUAGUGCUGAAGUUAACGCAUUAAGCACUCCGCCUGGGGAGUACGGCCGCAA
rnacentral:rRNA from 1 species